GGCGUCCUGGCUGCCUCCCACUUCCUCCAGCCUUUCAGUUGCCGCCCCCCAAUCUCUGGGCUUUAGGAUGUGGCUUUAGCUGGGUCUGGGGAACAAGAUGGUGAGAGGCGAUGGAGGAGGAAACUAAAAUGCCUAGGUUCCCGAGGGGCUCAGUCUGAGGGCGGGAAGACGCAUUCUCGGUUGAUAGGGGGCCAGGAUUCUAAGUGCUCUGGGGAGGGACAGAACCCAGGUUGAGUAGGGUAGCGAUGCCCCACUGGGUCCAGGGGGAGCAGUGAGGAUGCCUGGGUCCCAGUUUGUUCUUCCGCUUCGGAGCAGGACGUCGGGAUUGGGUAUCAGAGUGGAGACAUUUCAGACCCAGUCCCUAGAACUGGUGUCAACCUUCCCAGGAGGCUCUCCUGGAGGAUUCCUGCUGUCCUUGGACAUACUGGGCCCUUCUCUGCCUCACGUCUCUGCUGCCUCAGUCCUCUUGCUUUGUGGAUUCUGGAAAGACACUCUGGCUGUAGUGGGGAACACCAUCAUGAAUGGACAGUGCCUGAGACCUUGAGAGGCUCCAUCAAGAUGAAGCUGUGUGUCUCAUCCCACAUACUUGACUAGAGGCGCCUGACAAGAUGGGAUAAGAUAUCUCUGUCUCAUCUCUCACCUUGCCUUAAUAAAUGUUAUUAAUCGGACAGCUGUGUGUGGCACCCAUCUGUCCGGGCUCUUGUCAUAGUCUAAUGAUAGCAGCUGGCUGUUGUACACCACCUAACAAUUCACAAGUGCUUCCACCCCCUUACAAGUG